rnacentral:rRNA from 1 species
GACGAACGCUGGCGGCGUGCCUAAUACAUGCAAGUAGAACGCUGAAGGAGGAGCUUGCUCUUCUGGAUGAGUUGCGAACGGGUGAGUAACGCGUAGGUAACCUGCCUGGUAGCGGGGGAUAACUAUUGGAAACGAUAGCUAAUACCGCAUAACAGUAGAUGUUGCAUGACAUUUGCUUAAAAGGUGCAAUUGCACCACUACCAGAUGGACCUGCGUUGUAUUAGCUAGGUGGUGGGGUAACGGCUCACCAAGGCGACGAUACAUAGCCGACCUGAGAGGGGGCACGGCCUAACUGGGAUUGGGGCACGGCCCAGGACCCUGCGGGGGGGAGACGGAGGGGAUCUUUGGGAAUGGGCGGAAGGCUGAAUGAGCAACGCCGGGGGAGUGCAGGAGGUUGUCGGGUCGUGAAGGUCUGUUAUGAGGGAAGAACGUGUAUGAGGGUGAUACGUUCACAUUGUGACGGUACCUUAAGAAAAAGCGACGGCUAACUACGUG